UAGAGUUUGAUCCUGGCUCAGAACGAACGUUUGCGGCGUAGUUAAGGCAUGCAAGUCGAACGAGAACGGGUUUCUUCGGAUUCCCUAGUAAAGUGGCGAAAGGGUGAGUAUCACCUGGACAAUCUAUCCGCAGCAGGGGGACAACCAGUCGAAAGGCUGGCUAAUACCCCGUAAGACCACAGAGGGGCAUCCCUCAGAGGUCAAAGGUGGGGUCUUUCGGGACCUGCCGGCUGCGGAGGAGUUCAGGCCCUAUCAGCUUGUUGGUGAGGUAAUGGCUCACCAAGGCUGCGACGGGUAGCCGGCCUCAGAGGGUGACCGGCCACAUCGGGACUGAGACACUGCCCGGACUCCUACGGGAGGCUGCAGUUUGGAAUAUUCCGCAAUGCGCGAAAGCGUGACGGAGUGACGCCGCGUGAGGGAUGAAGGCCUUCGGGUUGUAAACCUCUUUCGCCUGUUAAGAAGUCGGCUUGAACUAAUACUUCAGGUCGUUGACAAAGGCAGGUAAAGAAGCACCGGCUAAAUCCGUGCCAGCAGCCGCGGUAAUACGGAUGGUGCCAACGUUGUUCGGUGUCAUUGGGCUUAAAGGGUGCGUAGGCGGCUGAGUAAGUCAGGUGUGAAAUCCCUCGGCUUAACCGAGGAAUUGCGCUUGAUACUGCUCGGCUUGAGGACCAAAGGGGAGAGCGGAACUCCAGGUGUAGCGGUAAAAUGCGUAGAUAUCUGGGGGAACGCCGAAGGCGAAGGCAGCUCUCUGGGUGGUUCCUGACGCUGAGUGCACGAAAGCUGGGGGAGCAAACAGGAUUAGAUACCCUGGUAGUCCCAGCCCUAAACGAUGGGCACUACGUAGAGGCCGGGCUGAACCGGUCUCUGCCGAAGCUAAAGCAUUAAGUGCCCCGCCUGGGAG
rnacentral:rRNA from 1 species